UACGUAGGGGGCAAGCGUUGUCCGGAAUCAUUGGGCGUAAAGAGCGCGUAGGCGGCCCAGUAAGUCCGCUCUGAAAGUCCGAGGCUCAACCUCUGAAUGCGGGUGGAUACUGCUGGGCUAGAGUCCGGAAGAGGCGAGUGGAAUUCCUGGUGUAGCGGUGAAAUGCGCAGAUAUCAGGAGGAACCCCGAUGGCGAAGGCAGCUCGCUGGGACGGUACGGACGCUGAGGCGCGAAAGCGUGGGGAGCAAACAGG
rnacentral:rRNA from 1 species